UACGUAGGGAGCAAGCGUUAUCCGGAUUUACUGGGUGUAAAGGGCGUGUAGGCGGGCAUGCAAGCCAGAAGCGAAAUCUGGGGGCUUAACCCCCAAACUGCUUUUGGAACUGCGUGUCUUGAGUGAUGGAGAGGCAGGCGGAAUUCCCAGUGUAGCGGUGAAAUGCGUAGAUAUUGGGAGGAACACCAGUGGCGAAGGCGGCCUGCUGGACAUUAACUGACGCCGAGGCGCGAAAGCGUGGGGAGCAAACAGG
rnacentral:rRNA from 1 species